AGGGAUUUAGCUCAGCGGCAAUAGUGCCUGCCUUGCAAGCAGGUGGUCGUGAGUUCAAUCCCUG
rnacentral:tRNA from 1 species